GACGAACGCUGGCGGCGUGCUUAACACAUGCAAGUCGAACGGAAAGGCCCUGCUUUUGUGGGGUGCUCGAGUGGCGAACGGGUGAGUAACACGUGAGUAACCUGCCCUUGACUUUGGGAUAACUUCAGGAAACUGGGGCUAAUACCGGAUAGGAGCUCCUGCUGCAUGGUGGGGGUUGGAAAGUUUCGGCGGUUGGGGAUGGACUCGCGGCUUAUCAGCUUGUUGGUGGGGUAGUGGCUUACCAAGGCUUUGACGGGUAGCCGGCCUGAGAGGGUGACCGGCCACAUUGGGACUGAGAUAUGGCCCAGACUCCUACGGGAGGCAGCAGUGGGGAAUAUUGCACAAUGGGCGGAAGCCUGAUGCAGCAACGCCGCGUGCGGGAUGACGGCCUUCGGGUUGUAACCCGCUUUCGCCUGUGACGAAGCGUGAGUGACGGUAAUGGGUAAAGAAGCACCGGCUAACUACGUG
rnacentral:rRNA from 1 species